rnacentral:rRNA from 1 species
AGUGAACGCUGGCGGUAGGCCUAACACAUGCAAGUCGAACGGCAGCACAGUAAGAGCUUGCUCUUACGGGUGGCGAGUGGCGGACGGGUGAGGAAUACAUCGGAAUCUACUUUUUCGUGGGGGAUAACGUAGGGAAACUUACGCUAAUACCGCAUACGUCCUACGGGUGAAAGCAGGGGAUCUUCGGACCUUGCGCGAUUGAAUGAGCCGAUGUCGGAUUAGCUAGUUGGCGGGGUAAAGGCCCACCAAGGCGACGAUCCGUAGCUGGUCUGAGAGGAUGAUCAGCCACACUGGAACUGAGACGCGGUCCAGACUCCUACGGGAGGCAGCAGUGGGGAAUAUUGGACAAAGGGCGCAAGCCUGAUCCAGCCAUACCGCGUGGGUGAAGAAGGCCUUCGGGUUGUAAAGCCCUUUUGUUGGGAAAGAAAAGCAGCAGGUUAAUACCCCGCUGUUCUGACGGUACCCAAAGAAUAAGCACCGGCUAACUUCGUG